AUUCCAUGGUGAGGGCAUUGCCUAAGUAGAUCCUUGAUUCAUUCCCAAGCUUCAAAUAGAGACUCUUCAUCUCCUUGCCUAAAUGAUGUGAUUUUGUUUCUCAUCUU